rnacentral:piRNA from 1 species
CACUAGUAAAGGAUGGCAGUGAA